rnacentral:lncRNA from 1 species
UUACAAUUUGACCCAUAUACUUGCAGACGCUGCUGUUUAAUCUUAUAUCUUAUUGUUGUAGUAUUUCCGGUCCAGACGUUCACAUAUCUAACGGUGAUCAAGUUGUUGAUGCCAUUGCUAGGGAGGUUUCAACAUUAGACUUGAAUUUAAAUUUCUGCAUUUGAUAAGAUAAACAAGAAAAUUUAGGAUUAUAGAUACAAAAUUUUUAAUUUUUUUAUUUUGUAUUUGAUUUUUAAUUUAUUAUCUUUGAUUCAAUGUAUGACUCAGAGUGGAACCUUUCCAAUUGAGCAAGAUCCUGAACCGGAGAGAAUUUUAAGGCGAGCUCGUCAGCAAAUGCAAAACAAUCCACCUAUAGUGGCUAACUUGUCACGAGGAAACCCAUUAUUUGAGGAGAACAACGAACUGCCUGCAUAGUUAUGAAAAGAGCCAUUGAUGGCUCAGCCAUAGAAGACAUUGCCCGAAUAUGUGCUUCCUACUUUAGAUGUUGUCCGAGGUAGUAUCGAGAGGCCUGCAAUUAACGCAAACAAUUUUGAAAUCAAGACGAUCACCAUCCAAAUGAUACAAAACAAUUUGCAAUUUCGGGGUAAUAUGAUGAAAAACCUGAACCGGGACUUAAAGAGAUUCCUACAAUUGUAUAACACAUAUAAAUACAACGGAGUGACCGACGAUGCAAUUCGUCUUCGGUUGUUUCUGUUAUCACUUUGUGACAACGCCUACAAAUGACUCGAUUCCCAAGAGCCAGGUUCCACCAUAGCAUGGGACGACUUAGCGAGAAAAUUUUUACACAAAAUUUUCCCAUUAGUUGA